CUGAGGCGGGAUGCCUUACACCUGCAUGUCGAACGGCAGCAUGAUCUACCUUGCUAGAUUGAUGGCGAGUGGCGAACGGGUGAGUAAUACAUCGGAACGUGCCCUGUAGUGGGGGAUAACUAGUCGAAAGAUUAGCUAAUACCGCAUACGACCUGAGGGUGAAAGUGGGGGACCGCAAGGCCUCAUGCUAUAGGAGCGGCCGAUGUCUGAUUAGCUAGUUGGUGAGGUAAAGGCUCACCAAGGCGACGAUCAGUAGCUGGUCUGAGAGGACGAUCAGCCACACUGGGACUGAGACACGGCCCAGACUCCUACGGGAGGCAGCAGUGGGGAAUUUUGGACAAUGGGCGAAAGCCUGAUCCAGCAAUGCCGCGUGUGUGAAGAAGGCCUUCGGGUUGUAAAGCACUUUUGUCCGGAAAGAAAUGGCUCUGGUUAAUACCUGGGGUCGAUGACGGUACCGGAAGAAUAAGGACCGGCUAACUACGUGCCAGCAGCCGCGGUAAUACGUAGGGUCCAAGCGUUAAUCGGAAUUACUGGGCGUAAAGCGUGCGCAGGCGGUUGUGCAAGACCGAUGUGAAAUCCCCGAGCUUAACUUGGGAAUUGCAUUGGUGACUGCACGGCUAGAGUGUGUCAGAGGGGGGUAGAAUUCCACGUGUAGCAUUGAAAUGCGUAGAG
rnacentral:rRNA from 1 species